UGGCCGUAAACGAUGUGGACUUGGUGUUGGAAUGGCUCCGAGCUGCUCCAGUGCCGAAGGGAAGCUGUUAAGUCCACCGCCUGGGAAGUACGGUCGCAAGACUGAAACUUAAGGAAUUGGCGGGGGGCGACCACAACGCGUGGAGCCUGCGGUUUAAUUGGAUUCAACGCCGGACAUCUCACCAGGGGCGGACAGCAGAAUGAUGGCCAGGUUGAUGACCUUGCUUGACAAGCUGAGAGGAGGUGCAUGGCGUGUG
rnacentral:rRNA from 1 species